rnacentral:rRNA from 1 species
GAUGAACGCUAGCUACAGGCUUAACACAUGCAAGUCGAGGGGUAACGAGAGGAAAGCUUGCUUUCCUUGUCGACGACCGGCGCACGGGUGAGUAACGCGUAUCCAACCUGCCCCCAACUAGGGAAUAACCUUGCGAAAGUAAGACUAAUACCCUAUAAUUUCCUCAGAUGACAUCUGACGAGGAAUAAAGAUUUAUCGGUUGUGGAUGGGGAUGCGUAUGAUUAGCUUGUUGGCGGGGUAACGGCCCACCAAGGAAACGAUCAGUAGGGGUUCUGAGAGGAAGGUCCCCCACAUUGGAACUGAGACACGGUCCAAACUCCUACGGGAGGCAGCAGUGAGGAAUAUUGGUCAAUGGGCGGAAGCCUGAACCAGCCAAGUAGCGUGCAGGAUGACGGCCCUAUGGGUUGUAAACUGCUUUUAUACAGGAAUAAAGUUAGCCACGUGUGGUUAUUUGUAGGUACUGUAUGAAUAAGGACCGGCUAAUUCCGUGCCAGCAGCCGCCGUAA